rnacentral:rRNA from 1 species
GUAUGGGGCAAGCGUUGUCCGGAUUUACUGGGCGUAAAGGGCGCGUAGGCGGUUUGUUAAGUCGAAGGUGAAAUCCUCGGGCUCAACUCGAGAAUUGCCUUCGAUACUGGCAAACUAGAGUGGCGGAGAGGAAAGCGGAACUCUUGGUGUAACGGUGGAAUGUGUAGAUAUCAAGAGGAACACCGGUGGCGAAGGCGGCUUUCUGGACGCACACUGACGCUCAGGCGCGAAAGCGUGGGUAGCAAACAGGAUUAGAUACCCUGGUAGUCCACGCCAUAAACGAUGGGUACUAGGUGUCGGGGGUAUCGACCCCUCCGGUGCCGCAGUUAACGCACUAAGUACCCCGCCUGGGGAUUAUGGUCGCAAGGCUGAAACUCAAAGGAAUUGACGGGGCCCCGCACAAGCGGUGGAGCAUGUGGUUUAAUUCGACGCAACGCGAAGAACCUUACCUGGGCUUGACAUGCUUGGGACAGCGCUGGAAACAGCGUCUCUCCUUCGGGAGCCCUUGCACAGGUGCUGCAUGGCUGUCGUCAGCUCGUGUCGUGAGAUGUUGGGUUAAGUCCCGCAACGAGCGCAACCUUCGUUACUAGUUGCCAUCAGUUCGGCUGGGCACUCUAGUGAGACUGCCGGUGAUAAACCGGAGGAAGGUGAGGAUGAUGUCAAGUCAUCAUGGCCCUUACGCCCAGGGCUACACACGUGCUACAAUGGUCGGCACAAAGGGUCGCUAAGCCGCGAGGUGGAGCUAAUCCCAAAAAGCCGGCCUCAGUUCGGAUUGGAGUCUGCAACCCGACUCCAUGAAGGCGGAAUCGCUAGU